UACAGAGGUCCCGAGCGUUGUUCGGAUUCACUGGGCGUAAAGGGUGCGCAGGUGGGUUGGCAAGUUCGAUGUGAAAGCCCCGGGCUUAACCCGGGAAUGGCAUUGGAAACUGCUGAUCUGGAGGAUCGGAGGGGGGACUGGAAUUCUUGGUGUAGCAGUGAAAUGCGUAGAUAUCAAGAGGAACACCAGUGGCGAAGGCGAGUCUCUGGGACGUUACUGACACUGAGGCGCGAAAGCGUGGGGAGCGAACAGG
rnacentral:rRNA from 1 species